UGCCUCUGGAAAGCGGUGACCUCACGGUUGCCCGCCCAUGGGGAAAGGCCGUAGGCCGAAUCUCUCAGGCGCCCGGUUUUGGGUGGACGACAGAGGGAGGGGA
rnacentral:ncRNA from 1 species